AUACGUAGGGGGCGAGCGUUGUCCGGAAUGAUUGGGCGUAAAGGGCGCGUAGGCGGCCCGGUAAGUCUGGAGUGAAAGUCCUGUUUUUAAGAUGGGAAUUGCUUUGGAUACUGUCGGGCUUGAGUGCAGGAGAGGUAAGUGGAAUUCCCAGAGUAGCGGUGAAAUGCGUAGAGAUUGGGAGGAACACCAGUGGCGAAGGCGACUUACUGGACUGUAACUGACGCUGAGGCGCGAAAGUGUGGGGAGCAAACAGGAUUAGAUACCCUGGUAGUCCACACUGUAAACGAUGAAUGCUAGGUGUAGGGGGUAUCGACCCCUUCUGUGCCGCAGUCAACACAAUAAGCAUUCCGCCUGGGGAGUACGGCCGCAAGGUUGAAACUCAAAGGAAUUGACGGGG
rnacentral:rRNA from 1 species